rnacentral:rRNA from 1 species
UUGACCUCGGAUCAGGUAGGGAUACCCGUGAA